ACUAACUUCCAGCUUCUAACCUCUAAUAUCUAAAUCGUUAGUGGCGACGGGUGAGUAACACGUUGGAACCUGCCCCAAAGUAAGGGAUAAGCCACCGGAAGGUGGUCUAAUACCUUAUAGUAUCCAUCUCGUAUGGAUUAAAGCUUUAUGCGCUUUGGGAGGGGCCUGCGUUUGAUUAGCUAGUUGGUGAGGUAAAAAGCUCACCAAGGCGACGAUCAAUAGCCGGUUUGAGAGGAUGACCAGCCACACUGGGACUGAGAUACGGCCCAGACUCCUACGGGAGGCAGCAGUAAGGAAUCUUCCACAAUGGGGCAACCCUGAUGGAGCAAUACCGCGUGCAGGAUGAAGCGUUUCGGCGUGUAAACUGCUUUUAUCACCGAAGAUUAUGACUGUAGGUGAAGAAUAAGGACCGGCUAACUACGUG
rnacentral:rRNA from 1 species